GUGUCUGCGUUGCUUGACGCGCUUUCCCUUCGACCCCUCCGCUCGCGGCAACAGCGGGUGGAUUCAAUUCAACUUCACGCAACUGCGGGACUCUGGUGCAAGACUUUCUGAGGCAGGGCAGGCAUCCAGUCAUGGGCAAAGCCAAAAGACGGACGUCUCAGCAGGCCUCCAGCCCUGUCCAAGAAUCUCCAAGGAUAACCUGCGUGAUUAGGAGGAAAGACUCCGCCGCAUCGACAGCAGACAAAAGGAAUCCAGCUGUGACCAGAGCCAAAAGACAGCCGUGCCAACCAGCUCCAUCGAGCUCGGUCCAAGGUUCUCCUGGAACAAGCGGCGAGAAUAGGAGGCAAGGCUCCGGCGCAUUGAAAGCAGACGAAGGGUU